rnacentral:rRNA from 1 species
AGCCGCGGUAAUACGUAGGGAGCAAGCGUUGUCCGGAUUUACUGGGUGUAAAGGGUGCGUAGGCGGCUUUGCAAGUCAGAUGUGAAAUCUAUGGGCUCAACCCAUAAACUGCAUUUGAAACUGUAGAGCUUGAGUGAAGUAGAGGCAGGCGGAAUUCCCCGUGUAGCGGUGAAAUGCGUAGAGAUGGGGAGGAACACCAGUGGCGAAGGCGGCCUGCUGGGCUUUAACUGACGCUGAGGCACGAAAGCGUGGGUAGCAAACAGGAUUAGAUACCCUGGUAGUCCACGCUGUAAACGAUGAUUACUAGGUGUGGGGGGUCUGACCCCUUCCGUGCCGGAGUUAACACAAUAAGUAAUCCACCUGGGGAGUACGGCCGCAAGGUUGAAACUCAAAGGAAUUGACGGGGGCCCGCACAAGCAGUGGAGUAUGUGGUUUAAUUCGAAGCAACGCGAAGAACCUUACCAGGUCUUGACAUCCAACUAACGAGAUAGAGAUAUGUCAGGUGCCCUUCGGGGAAAGUUGAGACAGGAGGUGCAUGGCC